rnacentral:tRNA from 2 species
CGCUGUAGAGCUAACUUAGCAUUAACCUUUUAAGUUAAAGAUUGAGAGGACCUCCUCUCUACAGUGA